rnacentral:rRNA from 1 species
CGGCGAGCGAACGGGGAGGAGCCCAGAGCCUGAAUCAGCAUGUGUGUUAGUGGAAGCGUCUGGAAAGGCGCGCGAUACAGGGUGACAGCCCCGUACACAAAAGCGCAUGUGUUGUGAGCUCGAUGAGUAGGGCGGGACACGUGGUAUCCUGUCUGAAUAUGGGGGGACCAUCCUCCAAGGCUAAAUACUCCUGACUGACCGAUAGUGAACCAGUACCGUGAGGGAAAGGCGAAAAGAACCCCGGCGAGGGGAGUGAAAAAGAACCUGAAACCGUGUACGUACAAGCAGUGGGAGCACAGGUUUACCUGUGUGACUGCGUACCUUUUGUAUAAUGGGUCAGCGACUUAUAUUCUGUAGCAAGGUUAACCGUAUAGGGGAGCCGCAGGGAAACCGAGUCUUAAUUGGGCGUUAAGUUGCAGGGUAUAGACCCGAAACCCGGUGAUCUAGCCAUGGGCAGGUUGAAGGUUGGGUAACACUAACUGGAGGACCGAACCGACUAAUGUUGAAAAAUUAG